AAAUUGAAGAGUUUGAUCAUGGCUCAGAUUGAACGCUGGCGGCAGGCCUAACACAUGCAAGUCGAGCGGUAGCACAGAGAGCUUGCUCUCGGGUGACGAGCGGCGGACGGGUGAGUAAUGUCUGGGAAACUGCCUGAUGGAGGGGGAUAACUACUGGAAACGGUAGCUAAUACCGCAUAACGUCGCAAGACCAAAGUGGGGGACCUUCGGGCCUCAUGCCAUCAGAUGUGCCCAGAUGGGAUUAGCUAGUAGGUGGGGUAAUGGCUCACCUAGGCGACGAUCCCUAGCUGGUCUGAGAGGAUGACCAGCCACACUGGAACUGAGACACGGUCCAGACUCCUACGGGAGGCAGCAGUGGGGAAUAUUGCACAAUGGGCGCAAGCCUGAUGCAGCCAUGCCGCGUGUGUGAAGAAGGCCUUCGGGUUGUAAAGCACUUUCAGCGGGGAGGAAGGCGAUAAGGUUAAUAACCUUGUCGAUUGACGUUACCCGCAGAAGAAGCACCGGCUAACUCCGUGCCAGCAGCCGCGGUAAUACGGAGGGUGCAAGCGUUAAUCGGAAUUACUGGGCGUAAAGCGCACGCAGGCGGUCUGUCAAGUCGGAUGUGAAAUCCCCGGGCUCAACCUGGGAACUGCAUUCGAAACUGGCAGGCUAGAGUCUUGUAGAGGGGGGUAGAAUUCCAGGUGUAGCGGUGAAAUGCGUAGAGAUCUGGAGGAAUACCGGUGGCGAAGGCGGCCCCCUGGACAAAGACUGACGCUCAGGUGCGAAAGCGUGGGGAGCAAACAGGAUUAGAUACCCUGGUAGUCCACGCCGUAAACGAUGUCGAUUUGGAGGUUGUGCCCUUGAGGCGUGGCUUCCGGAGCUAACGCGUUAAAUCGACCGCCUGGGGAGUACGGCCGCAAGGUUAAAACUCAAAUGAAUUGACGGGGGCCCGCACAAGCGGUGGAGCAUGUGGUUUAAUUCGAUGCAACGCGAAGAACCUUACCUGGUCUUGACAUCCACAGAACUU
rnacentral:rRNA from 1 species